rnacentral:lncRNA from 1 species
ACUCCAGUCAUCUUUCUAGUUCACAUGACAGAGAGAGGUCAAAACACCAACGAGUACCCCCGGGACUGGCAGGAAGAACGGAUGACGCUGGGGAAGGGCCAUGAUUCCUGAGGAAGAAGGGAGAAGAGAAUGGUCUAAGAUGGAACUAGGUGUGCCAGAAAAGACUUGAAGACACCUCUGGAGACAUCUGGGAGAAUGCAUGGUAAAAUGGCAGUGUUAGCAAACAGUAGCUAUCACUACUACUGUGGAAUGAAAGUAAUGAGAAACAAUUAAAACCCUCAUUUAAUCCACCAAGAAA